GGUAAAGUGAAACUGAUUUUAAAACAGGAAGUCUUUCAACUUUUUCUCUCUUCAAACGGCAGAAUAUUUAUUCAGACACUGUAAAACUUUAGUGAUCACAGCUGAUACUCACUCACAGGUUUAAAGAGAGGAAGAGCAAUGGCAGAAUCUUCAUCAACAUCACCAAAACAAAGACCAACCAGGAGAAACAGUUCAGAAGGUUUACGUCCAAACUUAAAGAGAGGAAGAACAAUGGCAGAAUCUUCAUCAACAUCACCAAAACAAAGACCAACCAGGAGAAACAGUUUAGAAGAUUUACGUCCAUACAUGUCGUCCUCCAGUAGUGCACUAAAUGAGGAGCUUCAGUGUUCAAUCUGUCUGGAUGUGUUCACUGAUCCAGUCACAACUCCAUGUGGACACAACUUCUGCAAGACCUGCCUGAAUGAAUGCUGGAAAAACACUCAGAACUGCAGCUGUCCACUCUGUAAUGAAACAUUCAGCAAAAGACCUGAUCUGAAGAUUAAUACAACACUCAGAGAGUUCGUGCAACACUUUAAGAAGAAGUUUAAUCUGGGUAAAUCUGAAGUUCUCUGUGACGUCUGUGAUGAAAGAAAGCAGAAAGCCGUGAAGUCUUGUCUGAUGUGUCAAAGCUCUUACUGUGAAACUCACCUGGAGCCUCAUCAGAGAGUUCUGGGUCUAAAGAAACACAAACUGAUGGACGCUGUGGAGAAUCUGGAGGAUUAUAUAUGCCAGAAACAUGAGAGACCUCUGGAGCUGUUCUGCAGAGAUGAUCAGACGUGUGUGUGUUUGUACUGCACUGAAGGAGACCACAAGACUCACAACACUGUUCCUAUAGAGGACGAGAGUGCAGAGAAGAAGAAUCAGCUGGUAAAGACACAGACAGACGUGCAGCAGAUGAUCCAGGACAGAAUGAAGAAGAUUCAAGACAUCCAACACUCUGUAAAGAUGAGAAAGAGAAACACAGAAGAAGAGAAAUCACACAGUGUUGAGGUGUUCACGGCUCUGAUUUGCUCCAUUGAGAGAUGCCAGACUGAAGUUGUUGAGAUGUUGGAGGAGAAGCAGAAAGCAGCAGAGAAACAGGCUGAAGAUCUCAUUAAAGAGCUGGAGCAGGAGAUCACUGAGCUAAAGAGGAGAAACUCUGAGCUGGAUCAGAUCUCACACACUGAAGAUCAUCUUCAUCUCCUACAGAUUGACCUGUCCCAGUACAGCCCUAAAAACAGUAAGAACUGGACUGAGAUCAGUAUUAACACUCAUGUGAGUGUGGACACUCUGAAUAGAGCUCUGACUCGACUCAAAGACACUCUAGAUCAAAAACUCAGUCAAACUGUAUUGAGGAGGAUGCAGCAGUAUGCAGUGGAUGUGACUCUGGAUCCUGAUACAGCUAAUCCUGCACUCAUCCUGUCUGAUGAUGGAAAACAAGUGACAUGUGGAGACAUUAGACAAAACCUCCCAGAUAAACCAGAGAGAUUUGAUAUAUAUCCAAUUGUCCUGGGAAAGAAGGGAUUCAGUUCAGGUAGAUUUUAUUUUGAGGUGCAGGUGAAGGGAAAGACUAAAUGGGAUUUAGGAUUGGUCAGAGAAUCCAUUAACAGGAAGGGACUGAUCACACCGACUCCAGUGAAUGGAUUCUGGACUGUGAUGUUGAGGAAUGAGAAUGAAUAUGUAGCUAAUGCCGGUCCUCCUGUCUCUCUGUGUGUGAGAGUGAAGCCACAGAAGGUUGGUGUGUUUGUGGAUUAUGAGGAGGGUCUGGUCUCCUUUUAUAAUGUGGAGUCCAGCUCUCAUAUCUACUCUUUCACUGGUCAGUCUUUCACUCAAACACUCUUUCCAUUUGUUAGCCCAUGUAAUAAUGAUAAAUGUAAAAACUCAACUCCACUGAUCAUCACACCUGUCAGUUACAAUUAAUGAAUUUACACCCCAUAAAUAUAAAAAACUACAUGAACAUUAGAUUUGUACAUUUCUUAAAAGAAAAUAUGAGGUAUGGUUGCUAGGGAGAUCUGGAUGGUUGCUAGUGUGUUCUGUGUACUUUAGUUUGAGCACAAUAUCACUGACUCUGUGCACUUGUGCCGGGAAACAUGAGAACAAACUUCUCCAUCAAUGAAACUGUCUCCAGCUUUUCCACAUCACUGAGAGAGAGAAAAUGAACUUUUCACACUCUAAGAACAGUGUUUAUCAUAUUUAAAACAGUACAUGAUGUACAUCUGUGUUUUUUUUUUUUUUUUUUUUUUUGUAUGUGACAGAUUUAAAGUGCAUGAAAAAAGCUCGCCUUAGAUUAAAACGGUAUAAAUUGAUCAUCUUAACCAAAAACAAUCUUUCUGACUCUCUGCAUUUCUUAUUCCUCUAUAUGGAACAAAACAUUCUUCAACACUUGCAGCAGUGGAUUCUGGAAUGUGAUCUUGACAGUCAACUCGCAUAAAAACACACAAUCAAUCUAUGAGUGCGUUUACAUGCACAACAAAAUGUUAAUUAAAAAUGAACUCCUUUAAAUAAAGCAACAAUGCAAGAAAUCUGGAGAAGGGUCUGGCCGCAGACAUGCACCCUGCGUCCUAAACCGCGUACUGUCAUAAUAUGUACUGUAUUUGAUGAGAAAUGCACUUCUCGGCCAGUAAAACAGUAUGCUUUUUAGGUAUGUGAGAGGCAGUAUGAAUAGAAUUCAGGCAUAUUAACAUCCAGGAAAGUACGCAUGGUCCCGUUACCAGAAUAUAUGACGUGACCAUGAAAAUAAUCAUAUCA